rnacentral:rRNA from 1 species
GAUUACACUUGGAACAUGGCUUUUGCAGCACUGUUGGAAUAUUUGGAGAUGUGGCAGCGGUUGGGGCAGAUUCAACUUCAGGAAGGUCUCGCAGAUUCCGUCACUUGGUCAUGGGAGACUAACGGGCAAUUUUCGGCGCGCUCGGCCUACGCCGCCAUGUUUGCCGGAAGGGAGGUGGUGCCAACAGCGGAUUUUACAUGGAAAUCUAGAGCCCCGCUACAAUGUCGUUUCUUCAACUGGUUGGCAAUGAGAAACAGGUGUUGGAUGUCCGACCGUCUCACUAAGUGCGGACUACCUCAUCAAGACACAUUGCCCUUUCUGCGAUCAAGAAGAAGAAACCAUCGAUCAUAUUCUAGUGGCAUGUGUGUUCGCAAGAACGGUGUGGAAGCGCUUUGUUUGGCAUUGGGCAAGUAG